rnacentral:lncRNA from 1 species
UCUCUCUGUGUUUUUUGUUGUCCUUCAUUGCAUCUCAGAUCUUGGAUUGACCGUACCGAUCGUUGACCUUUCCUGAAUCGGAAUCUGGGUUCGCCUAAAAAUCAAACCUUUUUCCUUCGAGGAGCUCGAGACUGACGAUUUAUAUCGAAAAGGCUGAGUCUUUGGAUCUGGGUUAUGAUGUUGUGAACUGGCAUGGGACUGAUCGUCACACGAAAACAAGAAUAAGAGAUGACGCUUUACAUUCGUCGCGAAUCUUCCAAGGUUCGUUCGUUUGUAAAUCUUCUAAUUCAGCUUCUGGGUUAUUCAAUUCAUUGGCUGAUUCGUUGUUUUUGUUUUGUUUUGUGAAUAGCUGUGGAAGAGAUUUUGCUUUAUCUUUUUUCUUCCGCCCCGUCUGAGUUUAUCUUGGUAAGUGGUCCCUAGCUUCCACUUUAAUUUCUCUUAUUACAUCCCUCUCUCUUGCUCUUGUUUGGUCGGAGUGAGAAAAAAAAAACGAAAAGGGAAAGUGUGAGUCUCGUUUGCUUUCACACUUAGAUGAUCAAUUGGUGACAAAAAGUUGUUGAUUCUCCAAGGUUUUACUUAGAUCUGUGAACAAUUCUUUCCGUGUGAGUUAUUUAUUCCAAGAAUAUUCAUAAUCCUUCUCCAAUUCUACAACAUACUGUUGAGCUUCCUAAGAUUUGAGUCUAAAGUAUCAAACUGUUUCAACUCAAUUUUUUUGUGUGUGUGUCUCUAGUGGUUACAGUACACUUUCCUCAUGUUCUCUGUCUUAUUGUUGCAGAGUACUUAGUCUCAAGGUGGAUGGAAGAAUCAUCUAAGAUUUGGCAUUAGUGCACUCUUGAAUGCAAUAUAGAGCCAUUACUUUGAGGUUUCAGGUGAUUGCAUCACUAUAAUGAGGCAACAAAGAGCCUCUAAUGUUCAUGAGGAUAGAUGUAAGGAUGAGCUGGUGAAGCGUGAUAUGUUGGAUCCGCCAAGGUAUCUCCAAAGAGCUGAAGAUCUCCGCGGAAAGGCGCUGAGUUUUGGAGUUUUGGAUUGGAAACAGUUAGAAAAACGGAAGGAUACUGCUGCUUCAGAGGGAACCAAAGGAGCGUGUUGUAGCUAUGCUUCUUCAUACACUGCUUCGUUGGAACUAGAUUUAGCAACAGGGGCUGUUAAAAGACUGGAUCUAGAUGGAAGACAAGAUGAUGUCCAAGGCCAGUGUUCAAGUCCGGUUAAUGUAAUGGAAUUGAACCAAAACUCUUUAGAGAAACCAUGUUUGUCUGUGACAUCUAAAAACGAAAGACAUCCUUCUCCUCCCACUCGCCGGUUUAGUUUCAGUCAAAUGAGAAGAAGUUUCAGUAGUAAAGAAAGCUCAUCCUCUGGUCCUGUGUUCUCAAGCGCAUCUCAUGCUUCAGCUAAAUCAGGUCCGUUGACAUUCAACAACUCGGCCAUAACAAAACCAAAUGGUCACAGCAGAACAAGAUCAGGUCCUGUAAUGAAACCAAAGACUGACAAGAAUGUCACAUUACAAGUUCCUUCAAAACCUUCCAACACAAGAUCACACGCUCUUUUGCAGUUCACUUUGAGAAAAGGUAUCAGUUUAUAUCAGUUUGUGGUCGACAACAACGUUCUUGCUGCCACCAUGAAGAGUUUAGAUUCUUCUAGAAGGUCUUACACAUUGUAUUCAGUCAAAGAAGUAAAGAACAAGAGUGGGAACUGGUUAGGCCGCAACAGGAAUGAUCAUCCGUUUGUACAUACAAUCAUCGGUCAGAUAAAGACUAAUGCGGAUUCAGCAACUCACAGAACAGAAUCUGUUUUGUUUGGUGUUGAGACAAACGAAGAGCUUGCAGCAGCUAUUGUUAAGACAAGAAACAUGACUCAGAAGCAGAACACAACAACUACUGUUAUACUCCCUAGUGGAACUCACACGCUUCCUAAAGACAGUAAUGCCCCCCUUCCGUUGCUUGACCGGUGGGAAUCUGGUGGAUCAUGCGACUGUGGUGGUUGGGACAUUGGUUGCAAACUCCGUGUCCUCUCUAAUGAUCAUCAUACAAAGUCUAAACCUUUCUCAAGCUUUCAACUGUUUGGUGAUCAGGUAAGUUGUUCUGUUCAAAUCUCGUAAGUGUGAUUCAUUGUUAACACUUGGAACUCUUACAGGAAAGAGACGAGCCAGUAUUCAAAAUGGUAUCACACGACGAUGAACUCCAUUCAGUUGAGUUCGGAUCAUCGGUUUCUCUCUUGGAAGCUUUCUUUAUUGCAUUGGCAGUAAGCAGUCACCAGAACUGGUGUGAAGAGGAGGAGGAGGAAGCAGUGUUGAAGAGAGUAACAUCAACCAAGUACGCAUCAAACCCACCUGUUUCUCCAAUAGGUCGGGUCUAGUAACAAUCAUUUGGCUUAGCUGGCUGAGCUAGAGACUGUGUUGGGUUGUGCUUUAAUACAACUGUAAUUAAGAAUAUAUUUGGCAGAACUGUUUAGAAUUUGGGCAGUGUAUAAAAUAAAGUGAAAAUACAUUUUUAUAUUUUCAGCUUCAAAUCUCUUAACAACAAAAAAUCAAGUCAUUUUGUUAUAUCAAUAACCAAACAAAAUUAUCUUUGUAAAUUGUAACUUGGAAAUUUUUUGAUUCUUGUGUCCCGGAUUCAAAACACCUUUUAGAUGGAAGAUUAUUCUUUAAAUCGGGAUAUCUAAAGGCUAACUCGAGAUCUAAGGGAGAUUACGGACGUACAUAAGACCCAUAACUUACACUAGGGGUGGGAGUUCGGGUUCGGGUUCGAGUCGAAUAUUUCAGAUUUUCGGGUAUUUCGGUAUAGAGGUGUAGAACCCGUUCGGGUAUUUUUGAGCUUUGGGUCGGGUUCAGGUAUUUUUAGUUCGGAUUCAGUUAUUUCGGAUCGGGUUCGGAUAUUUAGAUUUUGAAAAAAAAUAUUAAAAUUUUCAUUUCUCAUAUUUCUUGUAUUUAAAAAUAUAACUUUCAUUUAACUAGGUUUUUAUUUUUAAUAUAUUGAAUGGUUAGUAGAUUUGGACAUAACAUUUUGAAACUAAAAAGACAUUAAUUUGGUUAUUGUUUUUAAAUUUUGGAUGUAACUUUUUGUUAAUUCUUGAAAAAAAAGUUUGACAUGCAUUUUAAGCGAGUAGCAAAUCAUUUUCUCCGUCAUUGUAUGUAUAUCAUAUGAACUUAAGAUAUGUGUAGUAUCAAUAUAAAUAUUUUAUAUAAAAUGAGAGAUAUAAAUUAGAAAUAUAAGGUUAAUUAUACAUAUGUUCGGUUAUCUUCGGAUAACCACUCGGGUUCGGAUUUUACCCGUUCGGGUUCAGAUAUCCAUUCUCUCCUAAUUCAAUACCCGUUCGGAUAUUUUACUACUUCGGUUCGGAUUUCGGUUCGGGUUUUUCGGAUCGGGUUCGGAUGCGGCUUCGGAUAUCGGGUAAAGUGCCCACCCCUAACUUACACUGUUAAUGAAACAAAAAUAAGUCUAAUUUUUUAAUACAAAGAUGUGUAUUUUACAUGGAAAUUAGUGGGGGAAAAGACAUUAAUUAGCAAAAAUAGUUAUCAUAAGACACCACAGUUUUAGACAGCCUAUGAGAGUAAGACCAAGACAAGAACUAAGCUAAUUUCGAAAAGAAAAAAAAUUACCUUCAGCAGUUAAAGUAAAAAAAACUAUUAAUCCUUUUUGGGGUUAGAUACGUUUAUGAAUUAUGAUACAGUAUAAACAACGUAUUGAGGAUAGAGGGACAACUCAGCCGAGCAUGUAAGGAUAGAAACCUUAUUUGACAGACAUGCUUCGCUGCUUUUCCCUUACGUACCCACAUGCUCCUCCAAAUCAUAUAUCACGUGUAGUGUUGAUCCUGAAUUAAUAUUUAAACCUUGUAUUAAGUUCUUUUUAUUUGUUAACGAACUUUAUGCUAAGUUGCUAACUGGCCACUACUAGCUAAUCACCACCAUCAGACAUCACCUUUGAAAUUUUAAAAUAAAGCGUCAAUAACGGUUGGUGUUGGUGGGUUCUUCAAUUUCAUCUCAUGACCAUUGACUACUUUUUUUGGUUUAUCGAGAAAAUCUCUAUCCGAGACUUCUGAAAAAAAAAUUAUAUUGAGCGAUGGAAGUUUCCUAUCAAGAAAUAUCAUAAUUGAUAUAGUAAUAUUAGUAAUCAUCCAUGAUCUAUAGCUAGAUGUUAUUUCCCGUUCUUUAAAAAGUGUUUUUGAGUAAUAAUUUUUUUUGUUGAAAAUAUGCAUGCGUGAAAAAAACACAUGAAUCAUUCAUUAUGUUGAGAAAAUAGGGUAAAGACACAUGAAUCAUACAUUCAGUAUGACUCGACAAUCAUUACCAGGUAAAAUAACUUUUUAGAAUAGCAAAACGAGGGUAAAGACUACAAAACAAUAAUGGCAAAAUGUAUUUAUUUGUGUGUCUUAUUUGACCAAAAUGUAAGGAGUAACGAACAGUUCUAGAAACAAGUUAUGAUAUUUUGAACACCAAAACUUAAUGGGACGAUUGAUAGACUGACUUUCAGUAUUGAAUUAUUUCACAAGGAGACUUUUAUGACUUUUCUUAUAUUAUUGGCAAAAAAAAAAANNNNNNNNNNNNNNNNNNNNGUUUUUUUUUUUUUUUUUUUUGAGAAAGGGCUUAAAAAAGAAGACUUUUCUCACAUAAAUCUCUCUUUGUUUUUUUAAAGAACACCAAUCUUUUUUGGUUUCCUUGCAAAUUCUUUUGUUUUGUUCAAAACCCUCCAAAAAAAAAAUUGAAGAAUUUUUAUAUAGAAUUUCACGUUUUCCUUAAAAUAUGUUUAUUUACGGUUUAAAAUAAUUAAAACUAAGACAAGGGGGAGCGUACAAACAUACACUACAAUGUUUUUGACUUGGAAUAAAUUAGAUUCAAAAUAAUAAAGAGAGUAAGGAUAAAACGUAUCAUUAAUAUUAUCUGUCUUCAAAGUUCAGUUAAAAAAAAUGAUAUCAUACAACGUGGUAGCUAAAAUUUGUUGUAGAUCAAUUAAACUUCCAUCAAUAAUUAAGUUUAUAGCCAACAUUAAUAGUUUAAUCACAGCUAAGCCUAAAUACAACCAAUCCUAUAGUUACCAUUUGUUUCUAGUCCUACAAUUCAAUCUGAUAGAUUCAUAAAUAAAAGAUGUUGAAAACUGUUAAAAGUUUAAUUUCAACACACAAUAAAAAAAAAAUACAUAUAUAUGAAAGAAAGAAAAUAUUUUAGUAGUCUUUUUCGACUAUAAUUUCAUUCUUCGUAUACGUAAAUAAUUGUGUAUAUAUAAUUACAUUAGAAAAGUUGAAUAUUAUUUUGUUUUUUUCUUUUAAACUCAAUUUACAAUUCAACCGUUUCUCCGUGUUGAACUCUCUUCUCUCUCUGCCUUUAUAAAAUAUAUCAAUCUAGGGCUUGGGUUGGCUUCCUCAGAUUCUGCUUAAGGAAAUCUAUUUUCUUCAUCUUCUCUCUCUCUCUCUCUCUCUGUGUUUUUUGUUGUCCUUCAUUGCAUCUCAGAUCUUGGAUUGACCGUACCGAUCGUUGACCUUUCCUGAAUCGGAAUCUGGGUUCGCCUAAAAAUCAAACCUUUUUCCUUCGAGGAGCUCGAGACUGACGAUUUAUAUCGAAAAGGCUGAGUCUUUGGAUCUGGGUUAUGAUGUUGUGAACUGGCAUGGGACUGAUCGUCACACGAAAACAAGAAUAAGAGAUGACGCUUUACAUUCGUCGCGAA